UGGGAGCUGGGCUGGACUCGGUCCUCAGAUCCUCGGAAGGCUCAGCUCUGGGCGGGGCAAGGGACCUUGCAAGUCGGGGGGGCCUCGGGAACUUCUCUCCGCCAGCUGCGACUGGAGGCUGGGAACAGGGGAGACGACCCAGGGCCACGGCCCCUCAGGACUUCAGGCGGCCGGAGGUUGUGGGGACGAAGCGGAGUCGGGAGCCGGGCUUCCGGCCCUCACUACCCCGUCUCGGCCCGCGGGUUGCCUGCGUGCCCGCCCCACCCAGCGGUUAGAGUUACUUGUUAUUGGUAAAUAGCCACUGUGGAGACUAAGGACCAAAAGAAACACAGAAAGAAAUUUUACAGAAGAAAAA
ensembl:lncRNA novel transcript